AAUAUUUAACUUGACAGAACCCCUGUUAAGGCUGAUUCCCCUCUCUGGCACUUUGAGUGCAGAAGGUGGGGGCCCGCAAGGAUUUUAAAAAUUAAUACUGGUCACUCCAGGCUCGUAUUAAACUCCCAAGUUUACAGCUUUACUGUGACCUUGGAUGGAUAGAUGCUGCCACCACCCAAGUGCAAAA